AGCAGGGUCGCCCAACUGGUAGGGCAGGCGGCUGUUAACCGCCCCCGGUGUACGUUCGAAUCGUAUCCCUGCUGCCA
rnacentral:tRNA from 1 species